GCGCCCUUAGCUCAGUUGGAUAGAGUGUUGGUUUCCGAAGCCAAAGGUCGCUGGUUCGAAUCCAGCAGGGCGCGCCA
rnacentral:tRNA from 1 species